CGGCGGACGGGUGAGUAACACGUGGGUAACCUGCCUGUAAGACUGGGAUAACUCCGGGAAACCGGAGCUAAUACCGGAUAGUUCCUUGAACCGCAUGGUUCAAGGAUGAAAGACGGUUUCGGCUGUCACUUACAGAUGGACCCGCGGCGCAUUAGCUAGUUGGUGAGGUAACGGCUCACCAAGGCGACGAUGCGUAGCCGACCUGAGAGGGUGAUCGGCCACACUGGGACUGAGACACGGCCCAGACUCCUACGGGAGGCAGCAGUAGGGAAUCUUCCGCAAUGGACGAAAGUCUGACGGAGCAACGCCGCGUGAGUGAUGAAGGUUUUCGGAUCGUAAAGCUCUGUUGUUAGGGAAGAACAAGUGCAAGAGUAACUGCUUGCACCUUGACGGUACCUAACCAGAAAGCCACGGCUAACUACGUGCCAGCAGCCGCGGUAAUACGUAGGUGGCAAGCGUUGUCCGGAAUUAUUGGGCGUAAAGGGCUCGCAGGCGGUUUCUUAAGUCUGAUGUGAAAGCCCCCGGCUCAACCGGGGAGGGUCAUUGGAAACUGGGAAACUUGAGUGCAGAAGAGGAGAGUGGAAUUCCACGUGUAGCGGUGAAAUGCGUAGAGAUGUGGAGGAACACCAGUGGCGAAGGCGACUCUCUGGUCUGUAACUGACGCUGAGGAGCGAAAGCGUGGGGAGCGAACAGGAUUAGAUACCCUGGUAGUCCACGCCGUAAACGAUGAGUGCUAAGUGUU
rnacentral:rRNA from 1 species